AGUGGAAAAAAGGAAUGAGGAGGGAAAAGAGCUUGGGGGAUAGAAGAUGCACUUCUACCCAUGAGUAUUUUCUUCCUCACACCCUGAGAACAUUUUUCUUGUUUUGGAAUACAUUAUCUUAUUCUACAAGUUAUUCCAGCUGCAGUUUCCCUUAGCAUAAGGUUAGUGACCAAUAGCUUUAUAGAAUCAUUUAAUCAGCUCGAUAUAAUAUACACUGGCCUUGAAGAGUACACAUGAGUACCAUAUUUGAGCUGUGUUACGUGAUAUAUGACC
rnacentral:lncRNA from 1 species